rnacentral:misc_RNA from 1 species
AACGCACAUUGCGCUCCCUGGUACUCCGGGGAGCACGCCCGUUUCAGAAUCAUUGAAACUGUCACCCGGUCCGGGGCCUUCCCACACAUGGGGGGCCUCCGGGCUGGGCGGACGUUGGACGUGUUCACGACCCUGGGUCGUGAGCGUCUGAAAGUCAUGGUGUGAGCCCCCAGCGUCCGUUCGGCUGGCCUCUCAAAGUGCAACAGAUGAGAAUCAUCACAUCUCGCCCACGAUGAUCGAGGCUUCCAGCGGCGCCUUCACGGCUCACCCUGUCACCCCAAUCAUGGGCCAACGCGGCUGAUGCUGCGAGGUCCAGAAAACAUGGUCUGAAAUCGGGCGGGAAGACCCGCUGAACUUAA